CUGACGAGUGGCGGACGGGUGAGUAACGCGUAGGAAUCUGCCCAAUAGUGGGGGACAACCCGGAGAAAUCCGGGCUAAUACCGCAUACGCCCUACGGGGGAAAGGAGGGGAUCUCUUCGGAAACCUUUCGCUAUUGGAUGAGCCUGCGUCGGAUUAGCUUGUUGGUAGGGUAACGGCCUACCAAGGCGACGAUCCGUAGCUGGUCUGAGAGGACGAUCAGCCACACUGGGACUGAGACACGGCCCAG
rnacentral:rRNA from 1 species